GGAAGAAUGACAUUAUAUGUUGUAGGGAUAGUGCUAGGUGGAGGUUGAUAGGCAGUUGUAAAUUAAGUGGCAACAUAUUACAAAUGAGUUCCAGAAUGAGUAGGCAAUCGGAAGAUGUGCUACUGCAUGCUGGAGAUUAAAAUCCAAACAGAGAAACUAUCACCUAGCCCAGCAAUUGCAGUAAAAGGUUAAAAGAAAUAUUCAAUAUUAUCAAUCAUAUUAAAAAAAGGAGAGAACUUCUUACAGCUGCCAAAGUAGCUUGGGGGAAUUAAUGUGUUUGUGUCAAAAAGACUGAGAACAAGUGAAAUAGGACUACACUGAUUGCCAGAAUCUUACUUGCCUGGGGAGAUAACAUUGGACAUCCAGUUUAACUAGGCAGGUGCCAAGAAUCCUCUUAUGAAUGCUAUGGAGCUGUUUUCAAACACGACAAUGUCCAAUGACUUCCAUUCUCCAGUCCUCUCUGUGGUUUCUGAGUUGCUCAUUAAAGCAGAGAAGCCUCCAGUGAGGUGUGAUGACCUGAAAAUAGACGGGAGCUAAGGAAUCAAUGUUUUAAGUAAAACAGCAAUUAUAAAAAGAUCUACAGCUCUUUCCAUGUAAUCAGGUAAAUUACCAGGAGUAGCAUAAAGCACCUAAAUUGGAGAAAGAGUGGAGAAAGGGGGAGUGGGGGGAAAAGAAGGUCCCUUGGGUGAUAUCUGAUAGGAUGCUUAGUCUGUGUAGGGGUCAAGAGGUUAAGUGAAAAUGAGAUGAAGGAAUGAUCAGAUAUAGUCAGAUCAGAGACAGUUAAAUAAAGGAACGUGCUAACCUAAGAUAAAUGUGAGGAAGUACGCCUGUGUGAGGGUGUUGGUGUAGCUGUUCUUCAGCAGUCCAGGAAUCAGACAGAAAGGAUUCCUGGCUCCCAAUCCACACCAUUCCUAGCAGAAGCUCUUCCUAGCAAAGAAGUAGAAGGGAUAAGGACACGGUUUAAGACUCCUCUUUGCUGCUCCAGAGGAUACUAAAGUGCUUCUAAUCGCAUCUACAGAUUUUUCAGGUCUUUCUGCUGCUGAUGGAAUGUAAAUCAUCCUUAGUGGAGAGAAAGAAAAUGAGGCCUGUGCAUCUGUGGUUUGAACAAUGAGAAAGAUGCUGUUUAAACAAGAUGAAAACAGAAACAUUGAAAAACCAUGUCUGCCACUGUCCCUUUCGGGAUUCUACUGCGACCAAAAACUGAGAAUUUGAGGACCAGUGGAAAAAUAUACCAAACACGUGAGAAAGAACUGUAUGUAUGUCCCUCUCUAACCCCGCACAUACGAAUCCUCAGAAACAAACCCAAAUUCUUCUGCAGUGGUGAAAGAGGUGGAGGAGAAAGAGAAAUUAAAGAAAAUAAGACAUACGAUGGACCAGCAAACAAUUUGUAAAUGGAAGCAGCAGGCUUUUGCUUUUCCCCACAGACAAGCAGUCCAGAACAGACCCUGAAAGGUAACAGUCUCACAAUAGUAAUGCCUACAAGAGAAACUACCAUAAACAUAGGGUCUAAUUAAAAGCAUUACAAUUUUUAAAUGCAAAUGUAGAAUAGAACUGUCAAAAUGUUUUAUCCCUAAAGUGCGAAUGCUAACCUUCCCAUACUUAUUAUAUAGCACUACAUUUUAAUUUGCCUGGAGCACAGCUGAAUAAAGCAAGCAUCACAAACACAAUCAAAUGGAUAUCUGAAAGUACUGCUCUUCACAAUAGCUGUGUGUCUGAGCCCGGCUUCAAAUGUUGAUCAAUUGAUUACCAAAAUCAAAGAAUACAUUUCCCAAAUGAGCUUCUGCAAAAGCACUCAAUGGCACCAGAAAAAAAAAAGAGCAUAAAGCUGCACAGAACAGCAGUGUUCUCUAAAAUAUUUACAAAUGCAACUUUUUACUGCUUUCCUGUUUAUAGCUUAGAUCUGCACAGAUCUAAAGUGAGGAAUAAAGCACUUCUGAUAAAUCAAUGGCUUGAUUCAGUUUAAGUGUGGCAAAUUCAGGUAAACAGAAAAAAGUGAAAAUGACCUACAGGUAUACAUUAAGUCUUACGGCAAAUCACAGUCUCUUUCUUCAAAUGACUUUUGAACCUUUAAUAAAACUACAGUAAAAUAUAUAAUACAUUCUCUAAUGGCAAACCACGUGUGAAUACUAUUCCAUAAGAGAUAGUUCCCUAUUUGUUUUCCUUAGAAAUAAGACAGAACUAUUUGUGCUUAUCCGUCCUUUUGGAAUUUUCUCUCCUCCCAGCGUGACCAGUAAGAAGGCUUCUAGAUAGUCCUAGUAAGGAUGAAUAAAGGUGAGGCACUUGGCUUGAUUCUGAGCUUGUCUCAGACGGUUACUAUUUGCUCAGCAGAGGCCUCUGUUGAGCUAACUACAGUUCACGAGAGCACUCAUGGGUAUUCUCUAGCUCCUCCCAACACUUGGCACAGCAGUCUUCUGGACUGACUGAACACCAGCUGUAACUAUCAGUGUCCCAUCCGUCUUCCACCUCUAGUGAGCUGGUUCCUGCUGCUGUCCUAUGUAUUUUUACUGCUUUAUUUUUGAUAAA
ensembl:lncRNA